AGGUUCAGUCAUGGCUCAGGCUGAACGCUGGCGGGAUGCUUUACACAUGCAAGUCGAACGGCAGCACGGACUUCGGUCUGGUGGCGAGUGGCGAACGGGUGAGUAAUGUAUCCGGAACGUGCCUAGUAGCGGAGGAUAACUGCAGCGAAAGCGUAGCUAAUACCACAUACGCCCUUCGGGGAAAGCGGGGGACAUUCUGGACUCACUAUUAGAGCGGCCGAUAUGGAUUGGCUAGUUGGUGGGGCCAACGGCUCACCAAGGCGACGAUCCGUAGCUGGUUUGAGAGGACGACCAGCCACACUGGGACUGAGACACGGCCAGACUCCUACGGGAGGCAGCAGUGGGAAUUUUGGACAAUGGGGGAAACCUGAUCCAGCCAUCCGCGUGUGCGAUGAAGGCCCUUCGGGUUGUAAAGCACUUUUGGCAGGAAAAGAAACGGCACGGGAUAUUACCCGUGCAACUGACGUACCUGCAGAAUAAGCACCAGCCCAACUACGUGCCAGCAGCGGGUAGCCGUGGGUGCGGCGUUAAUCCGGAAUUACAGGCCGUAAAACGUUGCCGGCUGAUUCGGAAAGAAAGAUGUGAAAUCCCAGAGCCAACUGGAACAUUUUUAACUACCGAACUAGGUGUGUGUCAGAGGAGGUGGAGUCCGCGUGUAGCAGUGAAAUGCGUAGAUAUGCGGAGGAACACCGAUGGCGAAGGUAGCCUCCUGGGAUAACGCCGACGCUCAUGCACGAAAAGCGUGAGGGGAGCAAACAGGAUUAGAUACCCUGGUAGUUCCGCCUAAACGAUGUCAACUAGCUGUUGGGUAACUACGGGCCUUGGUAGCUGGCUAACGCGUGAAGUUGACCGCCUGGGAGAGUACAGUCGCAAGAUUAAACUCAAAGGAAUUGACGGGGACCCGCACAAGCGGUGAAUUGAUGUGGAUUAAUUCGAUGCAACGCGAAAAACCUUACCUACCCGACAUGUCUGGAAUCCGAAGAGAUUUGGGAGUGCUCGCAAGAGAACCAGGUUGGUGCUGCAUGGCUGUCGUCAGCUCGUGUCGUGAGAUGUUAGGUUAAGUCCGCAAGCAGGCGCAACCCUUGUCAUUAGUUGCUACGAAGAGCACUCUAAUGAGACUGCCGGUGACAAACCGGAGGAAGGUGGGGAUGACGUCAAGUCCUCAUGGCCCUUAUGGGUAGAGACUUCACACGUCAUACAGUAAUGGUCGGGACAGAGGGGUCGCCAACCCGCGAGGAGCCAAUCCCAGAAACCCGAUCGUAGUCCGGAUCGCAGUCUGCAACUCGACUUGCGUGAAGUCAGAAUCGCUAGUAAUCGCGGAUCAGCAUGUCGCGGUGAACACGUUCCCGGAGUCUCUUUACCGCCCGUCACACCAUGAAUGGUUUACCAAAUGGUCAAUAACCGUAAGGAGGGCGAUUACCACGGUUAAGUUCAUGACUGGGGUGAAGUCGUAACAAGGUAA
rnacentral:rRNA from 1 species